rnacentral:rRNA from 1 species
UACGUAGGGGGCAAGCGUUGUCCGGAAUCAUUGGGCGUAAAGAGCGUGUAGGCGGCCCGGUAAGUCUGUUGUGAAAGUCCAGGGCUCAACCCUGGAAUGCCGAUGGAUACUGCCGGGCUAGAGUUCGGAAGAGGCGAGUGGAAUUCCUGGUGUAGCGGUGGAAUGCGCAGAUAUCAGGAGGAACACCAAUGGCGAAGGCAGCACUCUGUGACGGUACUGACGCUGAGACGCGAAAGCGUGGGGAGCAAACAGG